rnacentral:rRNA from 1 species
AGUACGUCCAGCCUUGAAUGGGCUGUUCCUUAAAGCGAUGGAAACCUGGCAAUAUCUAUGUCGGCGGCAAAUGAUAUCGAAUAUAUAUAUAAUAUUAUAAUUUAAUGUAUAUAAUAAAAAUGUAUUAUCGUGACCCGUCUACAGUUAGAAAUAUGUAGUAAAAAGUUAAAUCGUUUCUAAACACAAAAACAAUUUGUCAGCGAAUUUAAAUAAUAAAAGUUGAUUUAUUCAUAGAAAAUAGGGAUUCAAUGUUCUAUUUAAACGGAUCAAGGAAUUUUUUUUAAUAGAGUUGAAGAAUUAUUAUAUAUAUAUAAAUGAUCACAGUCAAAUGCCAUGCUUAUAUAUUAUUUUUAUAUAUAAUUAUUAAAAAAAUAUUAUAUUUUUAUAAUAUAAUCAGAAUUUUAUAUUUAAUAAUAUAUCAUAUUCUUAUAAUUGAAUAAUUGAUAGUUGAUGUGUAAAGUAGAAUAAAAUUCUAAGCUGAUUGGGUUAAGUUUAAUUAAUAUUUAACCUUUGGAAUUUAAUAUCUUCAUAACCUAAAAAUGGUUAUAAAUGUAAUGAGUUUAAUCGUAAUAGUGAAAACUAAAAUAAUAAAAUUAAAUGUAUAUUUAUUUAUAAUAGUUUUGCGAGAAAAUGGUUAAAUUAAUAAUAAUUAUAAUUUAAAAUAUUAAAGCUAUUAAUUAAAUAAAAGCUAAUAAAAACUUAAUUUUAAUGAUUUAAUUACUCGAAAAUGCGUGAGAAAUUUUCUAUUGACGAAGAUUUAAAUGAAAAAUUGAUAGAUUUAUUAAAAUAUAAGAAAAAUUUUGAAUUGAUUAUAAAUUUUUAGAAUUAAAUAUUAAUCCCGACAAAGGGAUAUCUUUUAUUUCGAAUAGGAAAUAAAAGAUUAAUAUAUAUAUAAAAUAAUUUAUUUUAAUAAUUUAAUAAAUAUAAUUAUAAUUAAUAAAUUUAAUUAAAUUAUUUUUUUCUCAAAAUGUAAAUAAAUAUAUAUAUAUGAUAUGAAUGUAUAUAAAGUUUCUCUUGGUCGAUAGAAGUUUAAGCUAACCGUAAAGUGGAGAUUAAUAUAAAAUAAACUAUAAAAACGUUGUUAUUAGUUAAGUUUGAAGUUAAAUUAUAAUGAAUUUAAAAUAAAAUUUGUAUUAAUCUAGUAAACUAAAGCCCAGAUAUUAUUUAUUAUAUAAAAUUACAAAUAAUUAAUUUUAUUUGAGCUAAUGUGAAACCGAAGUAAAUAUUAUUUAUAAAUUGGAUUAAUAAUAUGAUAAAUUAUAUUGAACGAUUAAGAAAGAAGUUGUUCUUAUAUUAUUUUAAUUAUAUUUAAAAUAAUAUUAAAAAAUUUAAAUUUUAAGUCCAAGAAAAGUGAUAAAAAAGUUUUAAGAAAAGUAGAAAGGGAGUGCCAUGAUAAAGAGAUAGUUGAAAAUAAUAUAAUUUAAAAUAUUCUACUAAGAAUAAUAAAUAUAUUAUUAUAAGUAUAUUUUAUAUGAAAAUAUAAUGAAUAUAUUUUAUAAUGUAUAUAUUACAAAUUUUAAAAAGUUAAGUAAGUGGUGAUGAUACUUUUAGCAAUAAUGAAAUAUAAGGAAAUUCAUGAUUCUACUAAGUUAAGGAAUUCAUAAAAUUUUUAUAAAUAUAUUUUUAUAAAAUAAGUCUAUGAAAAUAUUAUUUAGUU